rnacentral:rRNA from 1 species
CAGCAGCCGCGGGAAUACGAAGGGGGCUAGCGUUGCUCGGAAUCACUGGGCGUAAAGGGUGCGUAGGCGGGUUUCUAAGUCAGGGGUGAAAUCCUGGAGCUCAACUCCAGAACUGCCCUUGAUACUGGAAGUCUUGAGUAUGGGAGAGGUGAGUGGAACUGCGAGUGUAGAGGUGAAAUUCGUAGAUAUUCGCAAGAACACCAGUGGCGAAGGCGGCUCACUGGCCCAUAACUGACGCUGAGGCACGAAAGCGUGGGGAGCAAACAGGAUUAGAUACCCGCGUAGUCCCUGUCUCUUAUAC